GAUGAACGCUGGCGGCGUGCCUAAUACAUGCAAGUCGAGCGAAUGGAUUAAGAGCUUGCUCUUAUGAAGUUAGCGGCGGACGGGUGAGUAACACGUGGGUAACCUGCCCAUAAGACUGGGAUAACUCCGGGAAACCGGGGCUAACACCGGAUAACAUUUUGAACCGCAUGGUUCGAAAUUGAAAGGCGGCUUCGGCUGUCACUUAUGGAUGGACCCGCGUCGCAUUAGCUAGUUGGUGAGGUAACGGCUCACCAAGGCAACGAUGCGUAGCCGACCUGAGAGGGUGAUCGGCCACACUGGGACUGAGACACGGCCCAGACUCCUACGGGAGGCGGCAGUAGGGAAUCUUCCGCAGUGGACGAAAGUCUGACGGAGCAACGCCGCGUGAGUGAUGAAGGCUUUCGGGUCGUAAAACUCUGUUGUUAGGGAAGAACAAGUGCUAGUUGAAUAAGCUGGCACCUUGACGGUACCUAACCAGAAAGCCACGGCUAACUACGUGCCAGCCGCCGCGGUAA
rnacentral:rRNA from 1 species